rnacentral:rRNA from 1 species
UACGGAGGGUGCAAGCGUUAUCCGGAUUCACUGGGUUUAAAGGGUGCGUAGGUGGGUAAGUAAGUCCGUGGUGAAAUCUCUGAGCUUAACUCAGAAACUGCCGUGGAUACUAUUUAUCUUGAAUAUUGUGGAGGUGAGCGGAAUAUGUCAUGUAGCGGUGAAAUGCUUAGAUAUGACAUAGAACACCAAUUGCGAAGGCAGCUCACUACACAAUUAUUGACGCUGAGGCACGAAAGCGUGGGGAGCAAACAGG